AUCGAACGCUGGCGGAAUGCUUUACACAUGCAAGUCGAGCGGCAGCGCGGGGCAACCUGGCGGCGAGCGGCGAACGGGUGAGUAAUGUAUCGGAACGUGUCCUGAGAUGGGGGAUAGCCCGGUGAAAACCGGAUUAAUACCGCAUACGAUCGAGAGAUGAAAGUGGGGGACCGCAAGGCCUCACGUCUUAGGAGCGGCCGAUAUCAGAUUAGCUAGUUGGUGAGGUAAAGGCUCACCAAGGCUCCGAUCUGUAGCUGGUCUGAGAGGAUGAUCAGCCACACUGGGACUGAGACACGGCCCAGACUCCUACGGGAGGCAGCAGUGGGGAAUUUUGGACAAUGGGGGCAACCCUGAUCCAGCCAUUCCGCGUGAGUGAAGAAGGCCUUCGGGUUGUAAAGCUCUUUUGUCCGGGAAGAAACGGUUUUGGUUAAUAACCAAGACUACUGACGGUACCGGAAGAAUAAGGACCGGCUAACUACGUGCCAGCAGCCGCCGUAACAC
rnacentral:rRNA from 1 species